CUUCCACAAUGUCUGUGGUACCUUUUAAACCGUAUCUAAUCUUUCAGUUUCUCACAUGAAGGAGACAAUGUGAUAUUUACACAUGUGAGUCUGAUUUAUCUCACUUAGGACUAUGUUCUCAAGUUGUAUCUAUUUACCUACAAAACAAAGUUUAUCCUUCUUUCUAGCUGAGUAAUACUUCAUUGUAUAAAAAUACCACCUCUUUUUUAUCCAUUCCUCAGUUGAUGGGCAUUUAUGUUGUUUCCAAGAUCUGGCUAUUGCAAAUUGUGCUGCUAUAUGUGCAUCAGUGAGAACCAGGUGAGAUGCUGCACAUGGCCAUGACUGUCCACCGUGACACAACGUUCUCUGGGACCACUGCCCAUGGGAAAGAGCCAUAGGUACACAUAUAUCACUGUGGUAUUAUGAUUUUAAUUUUUCUGGGAAGAUGCCCAGAAAGGGAAUAGCUGCAUCAAAUGGGACCUCUAAUUCUAGUUUUCUGGGGAAUCUCCACACUGAAUUCCAUAGUGGUUUCACCAGUCUACAUUCCCACCAACAGUGGAGAAGGGCUCCUUUUUCCCCACAGCCCCUCCAGCAUGUUAUUGAUUGAUUUCUUGAUGACAGCCAUGCUUUCUGGAGUGAGAUGGAAUCUCAGUGUAGUUUUAACUUGCAUUUCUCGAAUGACCAGUGAUGUUGAACACUUUUUAGUGUAUUUAUUUGCCUUUUGUACGAAGUGUGUAUUCAUCUCAGAUGCCCAUUUUUGACGGUUUCAGUUUUUAAAUGUAAACUAAUUAAGCUGAAAUAUAUCUUAAAGACACAUCCUCUGGACCCCAGGGUCACAAUAUCAAGUGCUCAAGGCCACACAUAGCUGGGGACUUCUGUAUUGGAUGGCGCCGGUCCAGACAAUGUGUGACCGUCCUCACUUAUUAGAUCAGCUGGCUAAGUUCCCUCCCCUGUGGCCUGUGGCCUUGGGUUCAUUUGAAACACUCACACAGCACUUGCUGGAGGCCGAGUCCUCCUGCUGUUCAUAGGCAUGCAGAGGACACUGGGGCCAUGAGAUGGGGCCUCUGGGCUUUUGGGGAGCAGACAGGUGAGGGGCUGUAGUUAUGUCCCUUGCAUUCUCUGAAGCUGCACUGGUAUGCUGGACAGGGCAUAGCUGAGUGGGGAUAGGUCCGUGGGUUGCUCAUGUUUCUUCUCUAAGCCUCCUCAAGUCCCCUGCAGCUGUCACCUCUUUGUCUGGCACGAUUGCAUACACUACCCCUUUCCUUGAGGUGCAGACACAUGAAGCAUUGCCUGGCAGACAGAUGGUGCUCCUGAGUGGCUCGGGGCACAGACAGAGCAUGGGCUCUCUAGGCCGAGUUGCCACAUAUUGCCUCUUCUCAUUGGCCACAGGGUCCUAGCUCUGACUGCUUUCAGGGGACCACACUAUUUGGGGGUUCGGUGCCCCACUCCAGGGUAACUGAUAAUAGCUCCGAGAAGCAGGUGCUGCCCUGCGCCCACUCUGUGGAUGGCACCCUGGCUUCUCUUCCCGAGAGCUGCUGAGCCGAGGUGCUCCAUGCCUGGGUUCUAGUCUCGGCUCUGCAUCUUCCCAGUCCCAGCCAAAUUUUCCCAACUGUCCUAUGAGUAGAUUGAACCCUCUGGUGGCCUAGUGUCUCCUACCUGUCAGAGACACAGUAUCUGCCAUCUAAAUGAUUUUGCUUUGGGGAUGGCGUUGAGAGAGGGCUAAGUUGAUGCGGGGAGGGAGAACUACUUUGAACUGCCUGGUUCAGGCCUUCCUGCAGCCCAUCCCUAAUGAGAGGAGGAGAGGGGGAAGAGGAGGAGAAGGUAAGGCCUGUACAGCCCCCAGAGGCUGGGCCAGGAUGCCCUCCGGGGUGACCGGGACACUGGGAGAAGCCAGCUCUGCAUCUUGGCACUUAGGCCUCGCAGCUGCUAGGGGCUGGCUGCCUGCAGUCCGUGGACUGGCAUGGAGGUGGCCCGCGGCUGGGACAGGUGGGGGUAUGUGGAGGGGCAUCCAUCACUGCCAGUAGCUCACGCCGGCCCUGCCAAGUGGUGGUGGAACUGGGCCCAGGUGUCAGUGUGCCUGCUAACUGGAUUGCUAUUUGAAAAAUUGCAGCAGGGUCAAGAAAGUCUAACCUCCACCUUUAUAUCAGGAGUCUGGAGCCCGGCGGGUGUUGGCCAGAGCAGGGCUGUUUGUGUAGGGCGGCCAGUGGGAAGGUGCCCUGGACGGGACAGAUUGCAGCAAAGGACGUGAUCUGCCCAGUGUGGGGAGAAGGGAGCAGCACAGGUCAGGGGACAGAGAACGUGCAGCUGGCUCCAGCAUGGGAGGGUUAACUGGUGCCUGCUGAGUGCCAGGCAAUAGUGCCAGGUGCCAGGGGGUGCAGAGAUAGAGGUGGCGUCUCCAGGACGCAUAGCACAGCAAAGGACAGGACAGUACCUUGGGAACCAAGGUACUUUUAUGGUCUCACUAUGAUUUGUUCUUUUAAAAUCGGAAGACAAAAAUAGACUUUCAUGUUGAAUUUUUUCUAUUAUGAUUAAAUAGUGUUUGCACAAAACUCACGUGCUCUCAGCAUGAGACUUGGUGGAGAGUGGGGUUUCUUGUGGUUGUAAGCAGAGGGGAGCUCACACUGCAGCUUGGUGAGCUGAAAGAGACACUCAGAGACACAGGACCCAAUUGUGUGACAUUCGAGGAAAGGGUAGUGUGAUGUAGCCACUGGCCAAAGACACCACAGCCCCCAGAAGGUGGAAGAGGCAGGAAGGAGCCUCCUCUGCACCCAUGGAAGAAAUCAGCCUGCUGACACCUUGAAUUUGGACUUUGGCCCCCAGAACUGUGGCAGAAUAAAUUUCAAUUGUUUUAACUCACUUGGGUCAUGGCUGUGAAUUAUGGUGCCUUGUCAGGACGCAGGAGAAUACGUAAUCUUAAUUGGCCUCUAUUCUAGAACCCAGUUGCAAGGUCUACAUUCUAUCACUGUUAUUAUUAAUUUUUUUAGUGGAAGUGGGAACUCUGGAAAGCAGAGGAGCCCAGGACCCAGGAAAGUCUUCCUGGGAGGUGACACGAUCUCCGUUGUCUAGUUCAGCUUUGGCACUGGACCAGGCUGGGCCAUGCUGGGUGAUGGGGUUGGGAGGGUGUCCUGGGCAGAUGGAGCUCUGACCCCUGUAGAGGUGAGGUAUAGGGAAAUAUGGGGGCCCUUUGGGUCAGAGUCUUGGUUCUGGUUCUGGUCCUGCCAUUUCCUAGCUGUGUCAUCUUGAGAGGAGAUGUGACCUUGUAAGUCCUCUGUGGCCUGAUCUGCUAAAGUGAGGGCCCCUAUUUUAGGGGGUACCCCUGAGAAUCUAGGGAAAAAGUACUGUGUGCCCUGGUGGGAGCAAAGUCUCUGCAGAACUUGGUCAAAGCUGGGGACUCAGUGCCUCGUCUACAAUGCAUUUGUCACCUAUCGAUACUUAGUGACUUCCUCUGUGGGCCAAAGAUGGCCCCACGGCUGUCAGAGGGCACCAGAGCAUCGUAAACAAGGAUGCUACAGCCUUCCAGAGUUUUUCAUCCAACCAGGGUUCAAAGAGCUGAGCUCUUUGUGUCAUUAUGGGUCUGAGGGACCAUCCUGGCCAGGGACCCAGGGGUGCCUGAGGGUCUUGUCCCUGCAGUAAGCCAGUACUCUGCCGUCCUUCACAGGCCCAGGGGGCCACUCCAGCCUCUGCCACCCCGAAACCCUUACCUUUCAGGGUAUCUGGACAUGGGGGCCACUUUUGACCAAAGGCCCUCAACUGGCCAGCAGUGGAGUCAGGGUGGGUAGCAGGGCAGAGGCUUUCCCUGCAUGAGCUGGGCGAGGCCUGGCCUUGUCCUGGCUGCCCAGGGGUGGCCCACAAAGGCUUCGAGACUGGGACUUCUGAUGAGCCAUCGAGUUUCAGCACUGGUUGCUCUGAUCUCCACAGGAGAUGUCCAACUCUAGCGCCACCUACUUACAGGUGGAGACUGUCCCCCCUUCCAGGGACAGGUGCCACAUGGCACGCUGAGGCAGCCAGGGCUGCAUCUGAGUACUGUGCACAUGUCACCCCAGCUAGACUCCUGGGAGGGCCUGAAGGAUAGACAGGAUUGCAACCCUUCCCUUGUGGAAGAGGGAAGGAGGCACAGGGUGGCUGAGACUCUUGCUUCUGGCCAGCUUGUGGCUGGCCUGGGAGAGACUCAGGAGGGAACGCUUUCCUCCCCAGGAGUCCCGAGGGCUGGAAGCAGCCCUGCAUUCCUGCCUGUAGGUGGGGCCCUGUUCACAGGUUGCUCCCGGGCUGCAUCCCCUUGAAGGGCUCUGUGCUUGUUUUCUGACUCCAAACUGGCAUCUCUGCAAGAGUCCUUGGCCAGUGCAGAGGGGAAUGGGGUGUAAGGCCCAGUCCCCCAAACUCAGCCCCUUCCUGCAGAAGCCUUCAGGCUGUGGAAUGCAGUGUAGACUCAGCUUGGGAGCAACCCUUUUCCCUGCAGCAGGCGGAAUCCAACUGGGCAGGCCUGGAUGUACCAUGAGUCCUCUACCCUGUCCCCUCCAGCCCACUGCCUAAUGAAGGAAGGACUCUGUCCUCCAUCACUGUACCAAAGGUUCCCCAGGGUGGCUCUAUGGAGGAUCCCUGGAGAGGUGUUUGCUCUCGUGGGCCUAAGUGACCUUGGGCCAGAGGCAAGUGAGUGCUGACAAGUGAGACCUGGUACUCUGUAGAAUCUCCGCGCUCCUGUGAUCUCUAGCUGGUCAGUUCCCCAGGCCUUGGUUCACUCCCUGGAAAAUGGGCCGAAGGGGUGGUUGAUUUGGUGACCCCUAUGGUGUCCCCUAGGAGUCACAGCAGAGUGAGGGUCCUGAUUUCACCACAGCAUUGCUGGGUAACACUGGUCACCUGGCAUCUCUAGGCUUCAGGUUGCUCGUCUGUGAAAUGGAGAGAACACAAGGCCCACUGGCCACCAGACUACAGGGACACAACCACCAGCCACUUAGCAUAUGUCUGACACAUGGAAUGCCCUGUCCCUGAGCCUCCAACUUGAUUACUUUCAAUGAUGAGGAUGAUUAUUUGGGGGGGGGUACUUAUUGAGCUAUAAACAACCUGCCCCUCCCCCUACAAACUGCAGAUCGGUGCUCUGUGCUCAUGGUCUUGCCUUUUCUAGAAUGUUCUGUAAAGGAACCAUGCAAGUGUGACUGACUCCCGUCAUUUCCCACAAUGCACUGGGUUCUGUCCUGUUGUUUUGCAUGUCUGCAACUCGCUCCUUUUUGUGGCUCACUAUGCUUGACAAUUGCAAGGAUGCUGGGGCAUCUGAGUGCCAUCCACCAGUUCCUGGACAGUCCAGUUGCCUCCUAUGAAUACAGCUGCUGUGAAUGUUUGCAUCCGGGUCUUUGUGUGGAUGUAGGUUUUCAUUUCUCCUGGUACCCAGUAGCAGGGGACUGUUGCUGGAUUGUAGGUUAAGUGUAUAUUAAGUGAAGUAACUGCUAGCCCCUUUGCCAAAGGGACCGCACCAUUUUGCGUUUUGAGCAGCCACGUCUGAGUGUCCGUUGUUUCACGCCUUUGCUCACACUUGCUACUGGGAACUUAAAAUCUUAGCCACCUUAAUACGUGUGUAGCGGUUUUUAUUUGCAUUUGCCUGGGGUCUGAUAACCUUCAACAUCUUUCCAUUUGCUGCUCUUGCCGUCAAAUUGGGUUUAUCUUGCUGAGUUGUAAGAGCUCUUUCUGCAUUCUGGAUGUAUUUACCAGGUAUGUAUUUCAGCCAUAUUUUCUCCUAGGACAUGGGUUUUCUUUUCAUUUUUUAAACAGUGUCUUUGUUUCAGUUUGAUGGGCCACAUUGAUAAUUUUUAUACUUUUUUGACUCCUAAGAGCACUUUGCCUAACCCAAAGUCACAGAAUUUCUCCUUGUGGCUUUUUUUUUUUUUUUUUUUUUUUUUUUUUUUUUGCCUUUGGGUUGUAGGUCUUGCUCUAAAGGUUAAUGACCUACUCUAGGUUGGUUCUGUCCAUAGUGCCCAGGGUGACCUUACCUGGCCCAGCCAGCUGGCCAGGUCUAUCUUGUCAUGGCCACCUCUGUCCACCUGGCAGCUGUUGGCUGAGUCUCCUGUGCCAGCUGUAACCAUUGCAAGUACCACCAUUGGGCCACUCUGGGAAUGUGGUGCUGGAUUCAGCUCAUCCUGUCCUGUUUGUCCUCAGAUCUAAGGGUGGCCUUGUCUGGUGGAAGCCUAGGCAGGGUCCUACCUGCUUACUGGAUGUGAUUACCAGGUGAUGACCUUUGCCUUCCUUCUUUCCCGGCUAGCUGCUGCCUCUGUGGGCUGCAGGACAUUUCCCCUUUACUUCCUGUGUCCAAGCUGGUACACCUGUCCUAUCAGUGCCCACCCCUGGACCUAUUACCAGACUUACUGCUUCUCUCCCCCAGUGGGUCACGGGCCCCAUUUUUGGGGAAACUGAGUUUGCAAGAGAUCCAGUUGUGAUGUGAGGUUGAACAUACGUCGUGAGUAGCAGACCCUGGAACCCAUUUGGAACUUUAGGGUCCCUGUAAUCCCCCAUGCUCGGGUGCAUUUCUAGGACAGCCCUCUGCUUGUUGAGCUGCAUAAAUCUGUGUGCAUGGGGAGCAUGGACUGACCGACCCAGUGAUGGUCAGUGUAAGGUUACUUCAGGGUAAGGUUACUUCUGCCCUCCUGCCUACUCACUGCCAAUUUCUUGAGGAUUUGUCUUCUCCUUUACCAGAGACUUGGUACUUGCUGGUAUAAAAUACUGGGCAGCCCAGCUGACCCCAUGCACUUCAGGUGAAACUGUCCCAGGGUAACUUGGAGUCCAGAAUGGAUUGGGGGCAGCAGCUGGCUGUGACCUUUGCCAGCUGUGACCAUCCCAGAUAGAGCCCACAGGGCUGGUUGUCCCAUGUCUCUGCCAUGGAUCCCUGCUAUGGCAAGGGCUUUGUUGCUGAUGAAGGUCAUGUUUGCCUGGGCACAGUGUGGCCCGUAUGCACGGACCAUCAUAGGCUCUAUGUCUGAUGCAGGUGAUCAUGGCUCCUUUGGGCUGCAGUCAGGGAGAUGGCACUUGUCCUGUGCUUCAGUGUCCCCAACCCCCAGUAAUGGUGGGUUCUCAUUCUUUCCAGAUAGAGGACUUUGCUGAUGACCCUCAGUUUUGUUCUCUUUGUGCAGUUCCUUUGGUUGCUGAAAUAACUUUACCAGAGCCUCACCCCUCACCUGUCUCAGUGGCCCAGGGAGGAAGCCAGUAGGAUCCUGUCCCCUCUGGCGGGACUGCAGAGGUCCUCAGAGGCCACAGGAGUGGACACCACACCAUGGGAUACAUCAAGUUUAAUGAACACAGCCCAAGGCAGGGUAAACCCAUGGCCAGACAGCCAGCAUGGGGUUUCAAGUAGUGGAGGGAAUGAAGACAGGCUUGACCUCAGAUUCAAGAAGGAGACUUCUAGAAAAACAGGGGCAGUCUACUGGUUAAGGGGGAGCAUAUCAGGUAUCUCUGACUGCAUAACCAGUAGCCCCAUCAAUGGCUUAGGACAAUGAGAAACAGCCCAUAGCACCGUGGCUGUGGGGCAGGAUGUUAGCAGUAGCUGAGCUCAUCUGACCUGGCUCUUGGUCUUGCACGGGAUGGGGUUCAGGGUGUUGGCCAGCUGCACCCUCAGGCUGCCUGGGAUCCAGACCUACCUCCAAGGUAGCUGCCCCUAUGUCGGGUCUUGAUUGUGCGUGUUUGUCUCAGUCCCUCCCACACGAACUUUGCACAGGGUUGCCUGGUCUUUUGUAACCUAGCUUCCAAAAGCACACAUGAGCUGGGGUGGUGGCGCACGCCUGUAAUCCCAGCACUUGGGAAGCUGAGGCAGGAGGAUCGUUAUGAGUUUGAGAUCAGCCUGGGCUACAAAGUGAGCUCAAGUUCAGCCUGAACUACAAUAGUGAGAUCCUGUCUCAAACCACACACACACACACACACACACACACACACUCACACACACACACACUCAUACACACACACAUGCGCACACACACACACACACACACACACACACACACACACCUAAAACGAAAGCACACAUAGCCAUAGCUACACAGUCCUGCCUGUUCUGGGGGAGGGGAUCAUAUGAGUGCAUGGAAGGUUCUAGAGGUGAGGAUUGUCACAGCUGGUGCCAACCAGGAAGGAGGAGACUCCAGGGAGCCAGGAGAGCCGUCUGAUUUGAAAGAGUGGGAUGCAGGGUAUGAAAGGAACAGAUAAAGGGUGAUGAGGAGCAGAGACGGCGCUGGUGAGUGACCCAACCUCUCUGAGCCUUCACCCUCUGUCUGCAGGAUGGAGAGGGCAGCGAUGCCAGAUGGGGUGAUGGGAAGCCCCGAUGUGGGGGUGUGAUAAGGAGCGUCCCAGGGGCCCUGCUAGAUGGAGAGUGUGCAGGGACACCUGGCAGGUCUGGAGGGUGGAAAUGUGUGUGCAUGUGUGUGUGUGUGGGGGUGUGUGUGAGACAGGAGUGGCCUGUGGCUGUGUUGUCAGGAAGAUGUUGAGGUAGGGCAGGAAGAGACUCCGGCAUCCAGUGCCCCACACGAGAGCAGGAGGGGAGGAGAGGUGCUGUGGCCCUGAGCAGCAGUGUACACAUGGGCACCCUUGGCCUGGGCAACUCUGGGAUACCCCAGGUCUCACAAGCCUCCCAGCAGGAGGGGCCUGAUACCUAUCCUGGACAGCGGGUCUCCGUGCGGAGUGGGCAGCUACUCAAGGGACUGGAUCCCAGGGGAUGGCGCGAGUAUUGUGCCACCCCUCACCCAGCAGCCCGACUCUCAGCCUCAGCCUCUGUCCCCACCAGUGUGUUCUCUUGGUGAGGCACCUCCAGCUCCUCCCGUGACUUUGUAGCCACCUCAGACCGUGCUGGGCCUGGGACCUCCCUGGCACUCCUCUGGCUCCCACUGCCCUGUGGGGCUUGGAGCCCCUGCAGGUCCCAGCAUUCACCUGGCAGGAAGGACCACGGCCUCCAUAGGGAGCUUUCUUGAACUAUCUUAAUCCCUGUUUCCUUUCCUUCCCAGGUGCUCCCCUCCUGCUCCCGAAACAGAAUUCGGUGCUCCAGAAAGCCAGGGCACCUUAGGAGCUGGAAGACUGCUCUAUGGCCGCACAGGCUCACUCCUGCUUGACGGAGAAUGUCCCCACGGCUUAUGCAACACAGCUUGGCCAGGGUGUUACCAUUGUCCUGUGCUCCUGGCUGCAGAAAAGGACAUUAGAGGGUGGAUUUCCUUGGAAACACUAGACGGAGCCUGGCUCCCAGUGUGACACCAGCUUACCUGGGUAGGACGGGGUGGGCAGGUGGGCGGGGUGCUCAGCUGGGGCAAGGGUUGGCGUAGGGAGGCCGAGGAGAAGCAGAAAUUCCUCCUGGCUGCCCUCCACCCUGGAUAUGGCCAGACUCCCAAAUGCAAGAUGGGACCAAAGCGACUGGUACCCACCUGUCAUGCUGCACAGCCGUGGGCAGUGGGUACUUUCCGGGGGAAAGGGACUAGGGGAUGUCAGGGCUGGCCACGAGGUCUGGGUGUCUUGCUUACACACAGGGGUCAAAGCCAAGGACAGGAGCUUCUUGUGGGCACAGAGUAGCCCAAGCCGCAGCCCUCAGGCUGUGGGGCUGAGCACAGGCAGGAUGGAGCCUGCGGGCUGCAUUGGGCUCUGUCAGCGUCAUGUGAGGUGGACAGGUGCUUCUGAAGAGCAGUUCACGAGAAACUCUUAAAAGCAACUUUAAAAAGGAAAGUUUGGCGAAGAGAAGCCAGUGGCUUGAAGAAAGCCACUUUUCCCACCCUGACUCGGGUUCAGAUGUCAGAGCUCAGCACCCGGUCCAAGUCCCUGACCCUCUUUUGCUACAGUUUGUGACAAAACAAAACCCUGUCCCUUAGGAAUAAAUGUGGAGCCAUUUCACGUGAGGGGGUGAGGCUGCACUGCGGGUUACUCACCUCCUCAUUUCCUGAAAGAACCUUCAAGGAGGUAUUAGAAACGCACCCGGUGAAGCUUCCUCAGCUCCCAGCUGCCGCAGAAUCCAGGGCCGUGGCGACCCUGUUCUGGCUAAAGGAAUGUUCAGCUAAAGUCCAAGGGUCUGCUCUGAGAGCCUUGCUUUCCUAAUACAGGUAUCGCCUCCCCUCCUGGGCUCUGUGUUGAUUUUUCUCUUGGAGCUGAGGUUGAGGUCUGGAGUCCAUACUGAGCCAUAAGAAUGCAUCUGUGAACUCAAAAAGAUGAAACGCUUUGACACUGAAAGCGACAGGAAAAUACUGCCCCAUUGUUAGCUGAGAAAACUAAAAACCACAUGAUGAAGUCUUUGAAGGGGAUUCAGAUACCUCCAAACUGAUGCAUUCGGUGUUUGGCAUGUAUAGAUGCUCAAUAAAAGCUAACCAUACUCACUUUUUUUUGGCAAGCUUCUGCGGUGCGACAGGAAUGCUGCUUGCCAUAACAUGUCCAGGAAGGGAGUGACUGGUUCUCAAACCUAGAACCCUGGGCAUUCAGGCCAGUGUACUGUCCAGUGUUUCCUGGCCUGAGACAGGGCAUGAAUCUGGUGACCAUGGUUCUAGGACCAGGAGGUUCUGUGCAUGGGCUCAGGUACCUGAUGAUCUCAUUCCCUUAGCAACUAUCACUGAGCAUCUGGAUACCAGCUCAGGGCAGGCCUGUCCCUGCCCUUGGGGAACUUAAGAGUGUGUGUGGAGAUAAUGACAGAUGGAUGCAGAAGGAAAUGUGGCCCAUUGUGGUUGUUCAGUAGGUACAAAGUCACCACAGACACUGGGUUAAGAAAGAUGAACAGAAGUAUAGGGAAGGUUCCCAUGGGCCUCUGGCUAUGACAUUUUUAUCAGGUGACAUCGUAUCAGCACAAAGCCCUGUCUAUGUGUGUUCCCAUUUAAAGACACUUUAUUCAGGUUUGUUAACAUUGAAGUUAUGGCCACGGCAUUGUCCCUCACACCGGUGUGAAGGUCGCCCCCCACAUGUGCUUCCUCCACAAGGCACAGCAGGUCCUCCUGCCCUUCAGAGCAUGAGCAGCAUCAGCACAUCAGUGCUGGGCUCAGGGCCACUUUAAGUGCAAAAUCACCAACAGAAAGCACAGAAAUAUGGAAAAUAGGACACUGACUAGAUGCAGAAAGACUCCCUGGGGGACGAGGGAAGAGGGCAAUGAGCAGGGUUUGAGAACCCAGUAUAGGGGCUGUGAGUGUGGGUUCUGUACUGAGGUGACCAUGGGGUUGGGUGCACCCACAGCUUGAGUCUCAUCUGACCCUGGCUAAGGUCCUCUUCUAGCACCAUAAUAUGGAGGACAAAGCCACAGUUGAUAUAGUUGUAUUCGUCCUAGAGGAAUAGAACACAGCUAGGCUCAUGGAAUCAGAGAGUCUGCAAGGUCACCUGCAUCCCAGAGAGCUGGAGGAUCCAGUAGCUGCUCAGUCUGAGAAGUUGGAAGCUGCAGCAGUCUGAGGCUGAAGGCCUGGAAGCUCCCCGCAGGGCUCAUGUGGAAUGGUCAAAGAAGCUGGAAUCUGAUGUCCACAGGCCUCAGUCCAGUCAAGGUGGCAGUCAAGAUCAUCUGUCAUAGAAGUGAAGAACCCAGAAACAGCCCAGCAGGCCAAGACCCCACUGCUACUUCACAGGACAGGAAAGCACAGCUCUAUCCAGCCCUCAGAAGCCAGAGUUGCCAUGAUGAUAGAAACUUUUGGAAGUGUCACUCGGGGCCACUACUUUAAAAAUAAAUGAACAUUUUCCUUACAAAGCUGAAGACAUGUGUUCCCUUCAACCAGUCAUGUACUGUCUUAGUCACUUUCUUAUUCUUGCAACUCAAUUUCUGACGCCCACAAUUUCAGGGAGGAGAGGCUUAUUUUGACUCACAGAUUCAGAAGUUUCAGUCAGUAGUCUGCAGGGCUAACUGUAGAAACGUCUAGAUAGAAGGGCCUGUCUGGGAGGAGAGCUGCUCAUGCCAUAGCUGUCAGGAAGCAGAGAGAGAAAGCAGGGGCCAGAAAGGCAGAUACACCCUUCCCGGCCACCCCCCAGUGACCUGCCUCUUGUGGUCAGGCCCUGCUCCUUAGCAGCAGCUCGGCUCUGAGCUUGUUGGUAGACAAAUCCCCUGAUACGACAGCACCCCAGGAUCCAAUCACCUUCCCAACACAUGAGGCUUUGGGGGGAUACUUUAGAUCUAACCCAUGACACAAGCAUGUAUGAACAGGUUCCUGAGAGAGAACUCCAGCAUGGGCCUGCAUUUCAGCAGUUUUGGUAGAGCAUAUGGUUCAAGGUUAUCCUCCUACUCUAGCACCUUAAUAGUGUAAUCUCACUUUAUUCUGCACCGCUAGCUUGAUGAGAGCUUGGCUGUGGGUCUGGCUGGUGGUCACUGCAGCCCUUCCUCGAUUCUCCAGCUCCUCCUAAGGCUUUCUUUUCUGUACUAACCAUUCUUCUGUCGUUGACCAUUUGACAUCUGAAAAUCAUGGGCAACCCAAAGCCCAGCAUUGUUUAUGGCCACAUCAUCUCUGGUUUUCAUGAACAGGAAGCAAAAUCACAUGACAAACCCUCCAACCACCCAAUAUCUGUGCUGUGUGUCUUGCUCCAAAGGGAACGUUUCCACCUUAUCCCUCUGCCUCUCUUGUGAAGCAGGCUCUGGUCUGUGCUGUCCCCUUGCCCCUCUUGCAUCCUGACUGUCCCUGCUGCUCCCCGCCAGGGUCCUUUGUGGCCUGACCUACUGCCUCCUCUUGGGGUCAGUGAGUAAUAAAUUCUUCUUUCAAGGCA